GAGGCAAACUCGGGGAACUGAAACAUCUAAGUACCCGAAGGAAGAGAAAUCAACCGAGAUUCCGAAAGUAGCGGCGAGCGAAAUUGGAUUAGCCCUUAAGCUUUUAAUGCGUCAGGUGAAGAGUCUGGAAAGUCUCGCAGUAUAGGGUGAUAGCCCCGUAACCGACAACGCAUUUUAAGUGAAAACGAGUAAGGCGGGACACGUGAUAUCCUGUUUGAACAUGGGGGGACCAUCCUCCAAGGCUAAAUACUACUGACUGACCGAUAGUGAACCAGUACCGUGAGGGAAAGGCGAAAAGAACCCCUGUGAGGGGAGUGAAAUAGAACCUGAAACCGUGUNCGUACAAGCAGUAGGAGCGCCUCGAAGNGUGACUGCNUACCUUUUGUAUAAUG
rnacentral:rRNA from 1 species